rnacentral:rRNA from 1 species
AUUGAACGCUGGCGGCAGGCCUAACACAUGCAAGUCGAACGAGUGGCGGACGGGUUAGUACUGUCUGGGAAACUGCCUGAUGGAGGGGGAUAACUACUGGAAACCGUAGCUAAUACCGCAUACCAUCCGAUAGGCCCUGAUGGGAGUAGCUAGUUGGUGGGGUAACGGCUCACCAGGGCGACGAUCCCUAGCUGGUCUGAGAGGAUGACAAGACAAACUGGAAAUGAGACACGGUACAGACUCCUACGGGAGGCAGCAGUGGGGAAUAUGGCACAAUGGGCGCAAGCCUGAUGCAGCCAUGCCGCGUGUAUGAAGAAGGCCUUCGGGUUGUAAAGUACUUUCAGCGGGGAGGCGUUACCCACAGAAGAAGCACCGGCUAACUCCGUGCCAGCAGCCGCGGUAAUAC